rnacentral:rRNA from 1 species
UACGGGGGGGGCAAGCGUUGUUCGGAAUUACUGGGCGUAAAGGGCUCGUAGGCGGCCAACUAAGUCGGAUGUGAAAUCCCCAGGCUCAACCUGGGAACUGCAUCCGAUACUGGAUGGCUUGAAUUCGGGAGAGGGAUGCAGAAUUCCAGGUGUAGCGGUGAAAUGCGUAGAUAUCUGGAGGAAUACCGGUGGCGAAGGCGGCUCACUGGACCGGAACUGACGCUGAGGCGCGAAAGCGUGGGGAGCAACCAGG